AUCGAUAGCAGGGAUAAUAUUAGAAGUAACAGAAAUAUUAACAUAUGGACGUAACGACGAUUAAUGAUCAAUCCGACGAAUUUUCCUGGUAAUUUGAUACAGCUUCAGCUUGUUCGUGUUCUUUGGAAAUGAUCUAACGGUGGCUCGAAAGCCAAGAACGCUUUUCAGAAUCUCUAUUUCCACCGUUGGAUUUUCCUGCCUGAUGUUAAUCUCCCUGGUGAUAUCCGCUGGGAUAGCGCAGCAUCCAUGGUAACGUCCUCUGGUUCUCCGCUUCGAACGGGUGAGUCGCAUGCAUUUCUGUUCCUCCGGUCACUCGAUCAUGUCGUAGGAUGAAAGGUCCGAAUCGACACGGGUGACUGGUUGUAUUACGUAGAAUUUUUUGCGAGCAUAGCGAUCGCGGGUAUUUUUUAUACCCGCGAGUAGUAACAUUUUUUUUUCAAAUUUAUUAGUUUAGGAUAGGUCUUUUUGCACAUCGCGAUUAUAACAAUUAGUUUUCUAACAGUUGAUUCAAGCAUACAAAUUUGAGAAUAAAUUCAUGGUACUUGUAAAUAUGUAUAUUAGUAUCGAGCGAGAAUAUU